rnacentral:rRNA from 1 species
AUGCACGCUGGCGGUGUGCCUAAUACAUGCAGGUCGAGCGAACAGACGAGGAGCUUACUCCUCUGACGUUAGCGGCGGCCGGGUGAGUAACACGUGGAUAACCUACCUAUAAGACUGGGAUAACUUCGGGAAACCGGAGCUAAUACCGGAUAACAUGUUGAACCGCAUGGUUCAACAGUGAAAGACGGUCUUGCUGUCACUUAUAGAUGGAUCCGCGUCGCAUUAGCUAGUUGGUAAGGUAACGGCUUACCAAGGCAACGAUGCGUAGCCGACCUGAGAGGGUGAUCGGCCACACUGGAACUGAGACACGGUCCAGACUCCUACGGGAGGCAGCAGUAGGGAAUCUUCCGCAAUGGGCGAAAGCCUGACGGAGCAACGCCGCGUGAGUGAAGAGGGUCUUCGGAUCGUAAAACUCUGUUAUUAGGGAAGAACAAAUGUGUAAGUAACUAUGCACGUCUUGACGGUACCUAAUCAGAAAGCCACGGCUAACUACGUG